rnacentral:rRNA from 1 species
UAUAUGAAUUUAUGAGAGGAAUAGUGUAAAAGAUUGAAAAAUUAUUAGAAAAUGGAUAUUUUUUGGUGAAAUUUAUAUUUUAUAAUUUAUUGGAGAAAUCUUUUUAAAAAUCAUAUAUGUAUUAUGGGGAUUUAGGAAUAGAAUCUAAAUAAUUUGGCGGUCUUGAGACUAAUUAGAGGAACUUGUUCUGUUAUAGAUGGUGCACGAAUUUUUAACUUUAAGAAUUAAUUUGUAUACCGCCGUUGUUAGGAUAAGGAUUUUUAUUCUGGAUUUUGAACAAAAAAACUUCAGGUCAAGGUGCAGUUUAUAUUGAGGGUUGAAGUGAGUUACAUUGAGAAUAUUUAUACGAAUAUUUUCCCAAAAGGGAUGAUGGAAGGUGGAUUUAAUAGUAAUAGUAUUUAAAUAAGAUAAUGAGAAGAAGGAUUUUGGG